rnacentral:ncRNA from 1 species
AUCAACCAACGCGGGAGCCCGGAUGACCGGGCUGAGAGGACGGCUACUGCGGCCGCCGACCGCCAGAACCUGCUCCGGGUAAUGCCGGCGAAGGGAGUUUGCGCGAUGACUUC